rnacentral:lncRNA from 1 species
UAGCAAUAUGCAGUGUAAUCCUCUCUCGAUACUGGGCGGUGGCCUUGAGCAUGAGGACAAGCAGCCAACACUCCAGGGAUGUUUGGGAUGGCCUGGAUCCUGCCAUGUAAAUCAAAGAAGAGAGGGUCUGACUCAGCCGCCUAGCCUGGGUCACCUGGAACCCAUUAUGAUACAGAAUCAUAAACACCUCCAUUUUCCCUUCAGAGAGAGACCAGAACCACUGAAGUUAAGCUACCUGCAUAAGAGUUGA